UUUGAUCAAGUGUGAAAGGGCAUCCAGGGGAUGCCUUGGCGCCAAGAGGCGAUGAAGGACGUAGUUGACUGCGAUAAGCGACGGAUAGCCGCCAACAGGCAUUGACCCGUCGAUUUCCGAAUCGGAGAACCGAGCGUGUGGAAACACACGUUAUCAACCGCUGAAUCUAUAGGCGGUUGAGGAUAACCAGGAGAACUGAAACAUCUUAGUACCCUGAGGAAAAGAAAGCAGAGCGAUUCCCCUAGUAGCGGCGAGCGAAAAGGGAACAGCCCAAACCGGAUGAGUGUCAAGCCCGCAGGCGUUGCUCAUCCGGGGUAGCGGGUUCUGAUUGGGCCGGGUUGCGGACCGGCCGGGGAGUUACAAAGACAAAGUCUAGCUGAAGGGCCUGGGAAGGUCCACCAUAGAAGGUGAGAGUCCUGUAAGCGAAAGAUUUUGUCCUCCCUGGAUCAGGCACCCAAGUAGCGCGGGACACGAGAAAUCUUGCGUGAAUCCAGGUGGACCAUCAUCUAAGGCUAAAUACUCCUUGGCGACCGAUAGUGAACCAGUACCGUGAGGGAAAGGUGAAAAGGACCCCUGUUAGGGGAGUUCAAAGAACCUGAAACUGGAUGCCUACAAACUGUGGGAGCCCUAUGAUCUUCGGAUCACGGGUGACCGCGUACCUUUUGCAUAAUGAGCCGGCGACUUACCGUGCGUAGCGAGGUUAAGCCAUAAAGGUGGAGCCGUAGCGAAAGCGAGUCUGAAUAGGGCUAUUUAGUUGCGCGCCGUAGACCCGAAGCCGAGUGAUCUAUCCAUGGCCAGGAUAAAGCGAGGGUAACACCUCGUGGAGGUCCGAACCAGUAUACGUUGAAAAGUAUUUGGAUGAGCUGUGGAUAGGGGUGAAAGGCCAACCAAACUCGGCUAUAGCUGGUUCUCCCCGAAAUAUAUUUAGGUAUAGCCUCAUGUAAUAAUUAGCGGCCGUAGGGCGCUGGAUGGGCUAGGGGUCCUACCAGACUACCAAACCCAACCAAUCUUUGAAGACCGUUAAUCGUAUCAUGGGAGUCAGACAGUGGGUGAUAAGGUCCAUUGUCGAAAGGGAAACAGCCCAGACCGUCAGUUAAGGCCCCUAAGACCAGGCUAAGUGGAGAAGGUUGUGGGAAUGCCCAGACAGCCAGGAGGUUGGCUUAGAAGCAGCCAUCCUUUAAAGAAAGCGUAACAGCUCACUGGUCAAGUGCGCCUGCGCCGAAAAUUCAACGGGGCUUAAGCCUGGCGCCGAAACUGCGGAUUUAUGUUCGAGCUUGCUCGGACAUGAGUGGUAGGGGAGCGUUCCAUGUGGGAUGAAGGUCGACCGUGAGGACGGCUGGACUUCAUGGAAGCGAGCAUGUCGGCAUGAGUAACGAUAAACCGGGUGAGAAACCCGGUCGCCGAAAACCCAAGGGUUCCUGAGGAAGGUUAAUCCGCUCAGGGUUAGUCGGCCCCUAAGGCGAGGCCGAAAGGCGUAGUCGAUGGGGAACAGGUUAAUAUUCCUGUACUAUCUACGCACCGUUAUCACGAUGGGGUGACGCGGAAGGGUAGGUCAGCCGGGCGAUGGUCGUCCCGGUUCAAGCGAGUAGGGGGGCAUCCCAGGCAAAUCCGGGAAGCCAUUAACCCCGAGACGCGAUGAGGCCUCAAUCCUACGGGUGAGAGGUAACUGAUUGAUCCCAUGCCGCCAAGAAAAACCUCUAAGGAGGGGCGUAGGUAACCGUACCCGAAACCGACACAGGUGGGUGAGGAGAGAAUCCUAAGGCGCUUGAGACAACUCUGGUUAAGGAACUCGGCAAAUUGGCCCCGUAACUUCGGGAGAAGGGGCGCCCUCAUUACGUGAGAGCCUUCGCGGCUUAAGCGGAAGGGGGUUGCAGCGAAGCGGUAGCCGCGACUGUUUACUAAAAACACAGGUCUCUGCUAAGUCGUAAGACGAUGUAUAGGGACUGACGCCUGCCCGGUGCCGGAAGGUUAAAAGGAGGGGUUAGCUUCUUCGGAAGCGAAGCUCUGAAUUGAAGCCCCGGUAAACGGCGGCCGUAACUAUAACGGUCCUAAGGUAGCGAAAUUCCUUGUCGGGUAAGUUCCGACCUGCACGAAUGGCGUA
rnacentral:rRNA from 1 species